rnacentral:rRNA from 1 species
CCUACGGGAGGCAGCAGUCGGGAAUAUUGCGCAAUGGAGGAAACUCUGACGCAGUGACGCCGCGUGCAGGAAGAAGGUUUUCGGAUUGUAAACGGCUUUAGACAGGGAAGAUACAAGACAGUACCUGUAAAAUAAGCUCCGGCUAACUACGUGCCAGCAGCCGCGGUAAUACGUAGGGAGCAAGCGUUAUCCGGAUUUAUUGGGUGUAAAGGGUGCGUAGACGGGAAGGCAAGUUGGGUGCGAAAUCCCUCGGCUUAACUGAGGAACUGCAACCAAAACUAUCUUUCUUGAGUGCUGGAGAGGAA